UACGUAGGGUGCGAGCGUUGUCCGGAAUUACUGGGCGUAAAGAGCUCGUAGGUGGUUUGUCGCGUUGUUCGUGAAAACUCACAGCUCAACUGUGGGCGUGCGGGCGAUACGGGCAGACUGGAGUACUGCAGGGGAGACUGGAAUUCCUGGUGUAGCGGUGGAAUGCGCAGAUAUCAGGAGGAACACCGGUGGCGAAGGCGGGUCUCUGGGCAGUAACUGACGCUGAGGCGCGAAAGCUAGGGGGAGCAAACAGG
rnacentral:rRNA from 1 species